rnacentral:rRNA from 1 species
GACGAACGCUGGCGGCGUGCUUAACACAUGCAAGUCGAGCGGUAAGGCCCUUUCGGGGGUACACGGGCGGCGAACGGGUGAGUAACACGUGGGUGACCUGCCCUCAGCUCUGGGAUAAGCCUGGGAAACCGGGUCUAAUACCGGAUAUGACUCCAUGACGCAUGUUGUGGGGUGGAAAGCCUUGUGCGGCUGAGGAUGGGCCCGCGGCCUAUCAGCUUGUUGGUGGGGUGANGGCCUACCAAGGCGACGACGGGUAGCCGGCCUGAGAGGGCGACCGGCCACACUGGGACUGAGACACGGCCCAGACUCCUACGGGAGGCAGCAGUGGGGAAUCUUGCGCAAUGCGCGAAAGCGUGACGCAGCAACGCCGCGUGGGGAAGAAGGCC